rnacentral:rRNA from 1 species
CAAUAGCGUAUAUUAAAGUUGUUGCAGUUAAAAAGCUCGUAGUUGGAUUUCUGGCUGUGCGUGAUGUGUCCGCGUUCCAAAAGGGAUGUGUGCAUGCGUUUCGUCGGUCAACGUUUCUGGAUGUCCGCGGGGCUCUUGAUUGAGUGUUCGUCGGUUUUACGUCCAGAUCAUUUACUUUGAGAAAAUUAGAGUGUUCAAGGCAGGCAUUAGUUGCCGUGAAUAUAUUAGCAUGGAAUAAUAAGAUAGGACUUUGGUCGUAUUUUGUUGGUUUCUACAGCCGAAGUAAUGAUUGAUAGGGAUAGUUGGGGGUGCUAGUAUUCUGCGGCCAGAGGUGAAAUUCUGUGAUUCGCGGAGGACUGACUUAUGCGAAAGCAUUCACCAAGGAUGUCUUCUUUAA